rnacentral:snRNA from 1 species
AAAAAGGGCUUCUGCCGUGCGUGGCACGGGGGGGCCCCGCGGCCGCCCCCGCGGAAUCGGCAUCAAGAGAUUUCGGAAGCACAAUUUUUGUAUGCGGGGGCCGCCGGUAACCGUGCGUUCCGGCGCCCCG